rnacentral:tRNA from 1 species
CCUCCGGUAGGUUAGUGUUAAAGUUCUAGUCUGGUAGACCGGAGGUGGUGGGUUCGAUUCCCACCUGAGGUA